rfam:Trichobilharzia regenti genome assembly, scaffold: TRE_scaffold0007878
AUCCAGAAGACGAGACCGAAAUAGGACGAAAUGCGCAUCCUGGAU